rnacentral:rRNA from 1 species
GUGGCCUCGAUGAAAGUGCUUACUGCAUUUUUUCUUACACAUGUGUUUUUCUUUUUUUGAAAACUUUGCUUUGGUAGGCCUUCUAUAUGGGGCCUGCCAGAGAUUAAACUCAACCAAAUUUUAUUUAAUGUCAACCGAUUAUUUAAUAGUCAAAACUUUCAACAACGGAUCUCUUGGUUCUCGCAUCGAUGAAGAACGCAGCGAAAUGCGAUAAGUAAUAUGAAUUGCAGAUAUUCGUGAAUCAUCGAAUCUUUGAACGCACAUUGCGCCCUUUGGUAUUCCAAAGGGCAUGCCUGUUUGAGCGUCAUUUCUCCCUCAAACCCUCGGGUUUGGUGUUGAGCGAUACGCUGGGUUUGCUUGAAAGAAAGGCGGAGUAUAAACUAAUGGAUAGGUUUUUUCCACUCAUUGGUACAAACUCCAAAACUUCUUCCAAAUUCGACCUCAAAUCAGGUAGGACUACCCGCUGAACUUAAGCAUAUCAAUAAGCGGAGGAA